CCUACGGGUGGCAGCAGUGGGGAAUCUUGCGCAAUGGGCGAAAGCCUGACGCAGCGACGCCGCGUGCGGGAAGAAGGCCUUCGGGUUGUAAACCGCUUUCAGGAGGGACGAAGCCACUCGGGUGAAUAGCCCAGAGGGUGACGGUACCUCCAGAAGAAGCCCCGGCUAACUACGUGCCAGCAGCCGCGGUAAUACGUAGGGGGCAAGCGUUGUCCGGAUUUAUUGGGCGUAAAGAGCGUGUAGGCGGCCAGGUAGGUCGGUUGUGAAAACUGGAGGCUCAACCUUCAGACGUCGACCGAAACCCCCUGGCUAGAGUCCGGGAGAGGAGAGUGGAAUUCCUGGUGUAGCGGUGGAAUGCGCAGAUAUCAGGAAGAACACCCGUGGCGAAAGCGGCUCUCUGGAACGGUACUGACGCUGAGACGCGAAAGCGUGGGGAGCGAACAGGAUUAGAUACCCGUGUAGUCG
rnacentral:rRNA from 1 species